AUAUUGCAUAGCAACUUGAAAGGGGGAGCCGGUCGCGUAGGAGGUGAGAGCCAGCCGCAAAAAUCCGUUCGGCGGCAUUUUCUCUUCAAACCCGCCCGGUCGGAUGUGGCAUUUGAAGAAAGAAGGCGUGGGUCAAUAAUCAACCCGCACUUUCUCCUCCAAACUGCUGAUGCGACUCUCACCGCCUUCUCAGCUAAGCCAGCUGCCGGGAAGGCCAGCUCUCCGCGAGAACCUGCCGGGGGAAGGGAUUCUCUGGGCCAAGGGGACCGAGGGCGCCCGAGCAAGGGCUGGGACGCCCUGAAAGCAUACCUUUCCACUGGCGCCAAGACCCUGCCGGGCAAAACGCGGGGACCGGACCUGAGGAGCCGUGGGAGCCCAGGGAGAUCUGGGGCGGGAGCUUCGUUCCGGCCAGGGCCUCUAUCCGCCCCGAUACGUGGCUCCUGGGCCGCGGGCCUCAGCAGGCAGAAGUGGGGCUCCGACCUCAAGACGAAGGUCCGGCGUCCUGGCACGCAGAUGGUCGGCGCCCCAGCCUCAAGCCGCUCUGCUGAAAUCCAAAGGACUGGCUUUGGAGCAAGCGUAGGCGAGAUUAUUUUAAAAUAAUAAUUUAUAUUGGCGGAAGGUUUUUAUUUGUAGGUUUGCUAUUGGUGUUUUGUUUUUUAAGCGAAAAUGCCGAUUGUUGAUUUCCACCUCCAGAAAUUACCAGCCGCCGCCGCUGCGCCCUUUCUAGACAAAUCCCACAGCAGUUCACCCGGCUCCGCCAAAACCGCAGAGCUUUUAUUUACUGAGAGGACCCCUUGGUUCCACCAAUUCCCCCAAAUCCCCGUGGCUCCCGAUCUCUCAUCCAGGGGGACUAGAAGAAAAGAUUUUCUCAGCAUUAGAAGAAUACUUGGAGCAGCAAAGGUGCCCGUGGUGCCUUUCUACCAUUCAAGAGGUGUCCUCCUGAAGGCGUCGGAGAGGGCCUCUGGCGGUUCCAAGGCUGCGCAGCCGGGGAGGAAGGAAAAGAAAACGCCAAGACAUAGAAAACCAUGCUUUUCCCGUAGGAAGAACCGAUGAUGAGCCCUGAUGAAAGAAGGGAGAAGACCCGCUGUCUGCGAAGGCCUAAAGGUUAGAAAUACAGCAAUUUUUCUCAUGCCGAAGGAAAGGCAAAAUGAUCUAAGAAACUGCAAGGCAGUGAUACACGUUUUCCUCAACAGCGAGCUGAGACUGGCGACAAUUUCUUAACUCACAGCCUCAGCAGUCGCCUCAGUCGACAAAGAGAGCAGCCCACGCAGCGGCCGCCGCGCCCGUGCCCGUGGCCUUUACUUGCUUUUGCCCUGAAGUUCAGUGUAGUGGUUUGUUUGGGGCUUGCAGCAAGAAACAAACACACUCCCCCUGACUCUCCACAACCCAUCUUUGCCUUCUGCAACCGCUUCUCCUGCCCAUCGCUGGCUUUGGGGUAGGCUCUUUGUCUGCCUGAGGCCCCGCACUUGCAGGGCAAGAAGCUUAAAGGAAUCCAACUCCAAACUCCUCCGAAGUUAAAUAUUGACCAGAACCUCUUUCAACAGGCCGCGGUUGCCAGGAACCGUGGAGAGCCAACUCCUCCCAACCGCCCUGGUGCAAAGUCCCACGCGGCGAAGAGUUUUAGAGCAGCGCUUACCUAGAAAGAUGUUUAAAUCUGAACCAGGAAUUGUCUCCAACUCCAGGCGCUCAGGGAAUCGCCUUUUCCGGUGUCCAGGCGCUCUGCAGACAAAUAAACAGCAGAAGGUGAAUGGCGGCUGCGAGGGAAGGGAGUUGGAGGCCGGGAGUGGGAAGCGCGGCUCAUGCGGGCGCCAAGGUGGCCCUGGGGGUGACGCGAACACCAAGGAGUCGCCAGGGCACUCGUCCGUGUGGCGCACUCAUUGCUCGAAAUGUUCCAGUCUACAAAUGGCCCGAAGAUGGUGAUUUAUUUUUGUAAAAUAAAUACAUACUCCAUCUCCACACCCAUACUUUCUCCUUUUUCUUUCUUUUUUUUUGGGGGGGGGGUGGGGAAGGAAAGAAAAUGAAGCAAACAGAGGAAGCUGAGAAGGUGGAAGUGGCUUUGCUGGUGGUGUGGGCUGCUUUCAGAGAGCUCUCUCCUCAGGCACCACAACUUGGAGAAUGUGAAUGCUCGCCUUAUUUUCCUUUCCUAACAAAAGGAAGCCUUGUCUGGGAGCAUUCAAUCACGGACUCUCCUGAAACCUCACUAAUAUGUGUUCAUUUCUGUAGGCGCGAAAUCAGACCCGGGUUCAGUCCACUGGCCAGAGGCAGUCUUGGGAGGUUUUGUGUUCUGGUUUAUUCAAUUCUGGGUGCGUUCCUUCUAGGUCCUAGUGGGCUGGCGGGGCUACCGCAGCACCUAGUCCCUCAGGGCAGACCAGCUAAGGCUGCUGGAAACUGGGAGGGACGCCGGCUGGUACAAUACCUGCUCAGGGGCCCUGCUCCUGCCUGGCCUUGCGCAGCG
rnacentral:antisense_RNA from 1 species